ACUCGCUUCGUCGAUGUAUAUACUAAAAUUGUAACGAUAAAGCAAAAAGAUUGGCAUGACCUCUGCUCAAAGAUGAUAAACAAAAUCAUCAAGAGUUCGUUGUUUUA
rnacentral:snRNA from 1 species